rnacentral:pre_miRNA from 1 species
UAGCUACUCCCUCCAUUCGGAAUUAUUUGUCUCGGAAAUGGAUGUAUCUAUAACUAAAAUAUGUCUAGAUACAUCCAUUUUUGUGACAAGUAAUUCCGAACGAAGGGAGUAGUUU